rnacentral:lncRNA from 1 species
CUCUGCGAGUACCUGAAUGCUUACUCUGGGAGGAAGUACCAGGCAGACCGGCUUCAGGGGGUCAGUCCUUCCCGUUCUGUGCUAGAUUGCUGUAUAAGGACCUCACAGCAACUCUUCCCACUGACGUCACCGUGACAUGUCAAGGAGUGGAAGUAUUAUCCACUUCAUGGGAGGAGCAACGAGCAUCUCAUGAAACUCUGUUCUGUACGAAGCCCUUGCAUCAAGUGUUUGCCUCAUUUACAAGAAAAGGAGAAAAGUUGGAUAUGAGUCUGGUCUCCUAAUAGAUUGUUUUCACUGCACUGGGAGCACAUCAGAGAAAUAAAUCCCCCCUCCCCUGCCAGGUGAAAGGAAAUAUUGCACUUUCUGUUCUCAUGACUAAGGGGACAGGAGUUCCAGAAGAACCUUUCAAGAUGAUCAGGAACACCAGGACGAGGGCCGUCUCACCUCACUCGGACCACAUGGAGACCUCCCUUCAAAAUGGGAGCCAUGUCCUGCCCCACCAAGCCCUGUCUGAAGUGGAGCUUCCCCGCCUGUGCUCCCUCCACAGUCCCGGAAAGCCCAGCGGCAAAGGCAGCUUUGUCCCAGCUCUGCCACCCUCCUGCUCACAGUGGUCAGGGCCCCUCAGGGGCAAGGACGGCAGGGAUUGGAACGAGGGCUCUGGAAGGACUGUUCAGCCCUAUGCCUAAGACCCCUAUGCUGGGGACACUACAGGCACACACAGGAAUAGCAGGGCCACCCUCAGAGCUCACACAUCCACGAACAAAUGAAGGCUGAGGAGGUUUCUAAACCUAAAGUCCAUGAGUGUGCACUUCAAUCCAGGAAGGUCGGGACUUCCUUCAGUUUCAAAAAAUAAA